rnacentral:rRNA from 1 species
UGGGGAAUUUUGGACAAUGGGCGCAAGCCUGAUCCAGCCAUGCCGCGUGCGGGAAGAAGGCCUUCGGGUUGUAAACCGCUUUUGUCAGGGAAGAAAUCCUUUGAGCUAAUACCUCGGGGGGAUGACGGUACCUGAAGAAUAAGCACCGGCUAACUACGUGCCAGCAGCCGCGGUAAUACAGAGGGUGCAAGCGUUAAUCGGAAUUACUGGGCGUAAAGCGCGCGUAGGUGGUUAGUUAAGUUGGAUGUGAAAUCCCCGGGCUCAACCUGGGAACUGCAUUCAAAACUGACUGACUAGAGUAUGGUAGAGGGUGGUGGAAUUUCCUGUGUAGCGGUGAAAUGCGUAGAUAUGCGGAGGAACACCGAUGGCGAAGGCAGCCUCCUGGGCCAGUACUGACGCUCAUGCACGAAAGCGUGGGGAGCAAACA